GCCAUGAAAAAACAAACACUCCCCUAGCUGCAAAGACAGGCAAAAGGCUUGGUAUCCCAGGACUAAUGACGUGCCAUUUAAAAACAAACAGAAGUGGGAAGGCAGUUCGGUUUUUCAGAGCCUGACUCCUGGCAGCGUGAGCUCGGCGUGCACAGGCUGUUCUGCAAACUCCGCUGGCUGCUGGGAUUGUUUGUUCUCUCUGCGUGAGCCGCGCUGAAACCAGCACUCGAGAAACAGAAGGUACAGGGAGUUGGUCGGGGAGAGAGCAAAAUCAGGAUAUGUAAACAAACUAAUUAGAUCAGUGCAAACAGCAAUAGCACACUGUGUUACAAGAAGCUUGUAACCCACUUUGUACAUUCAGGCUGCCCUUGUAAGAUCACCCGCCUGCUCCUCCUCACAGGGGCUUCUGGCUCCUCAGGAGCACAAGUAGAUGAAAUAUUUAGAUUACAGAAAACUCCUCCAUAAAUCUUGUAAGUUGAAAAACCCAACAUUGAAAGUUGCCUGUCACAUUAUAUGAUUGCAAGUGCAUUCUGCAGAUUUCUCAGUGCUUAGCAAGCAAAUAUUAUGACAUAUUUUAUAUUUGUGCAUGUGAAAAAGAUGGUGUUCCUUCACAUACCUGCUCCUUUUCCCCAAACUGGGAGGCAUAUGAUAAGGGUUUUGGUUGACAUGCAAGAUAACAGUAAAAUUUCUGUUUAUCUAAGUUACCUCUCUCAGGGAAGGCAACAAUCAGAGAGCUAAUAUUUCAUUACAACCUCUCCUGUCUGAGCUGCUCAGCCGGCAAAGAUUUCACAGAUUACUUUAUGAAAAGUAGAAGACUGGAGAAAACCUGCCAAAAUUCAGCCUAAUUACAGAAGGAAUAGUAUAUCCCUCAGGAAAACACCUUGCUCUUUAAAAAGAAAAAAAUUACAAAAAAAACACCAUACAACAAGACAACACCAAACCAACCAACGGGAGCUGUAGUUUUUCGUAUAAAUGUGACUUAACUACACAAACUUCGGUUGUGCCAUUUUCCUGGGCAUGCCCAUCUGAAAGUAGCAAGAUCACACCGUAAAACAGAGGCAAGACAAGGGGCAUUCUGUCCCUGUGAGAAGAAUUACGGAUGCAGUAAUAUCUGUGGCACCAUGAAGAUCAGCUGCAGAAGAAGAAAACCUGAGUGCUGAAAAAGUUACUACCCCAGAGCUGGCUGCCAGGGAAGUGUAGUACACAGUAGCAGAGCUCUGAGAAAAUACGUAUUGAAGACCUGAGAUGCACAAGACACAACAGGAACACAGUAACCAGAAACACGACUGCCAGCCUUUCAUUCAAAUUACAGUCUGCUGAUAAUUCUCUCUCCAAGAGAUGUGGCAUCAUCUCUGUCAAUCUCAUCUUACCAACCCUGAACAUCAGGGCAUAUGUAAUUUUGUAGGCAGUGUUUGCACUCUGAUAACAUUCUGCUGGACUUCAAUAUUUUAACAUAGUGCCUACUAUAAUAUCAGUCUACAAUGUCACGUGAAAUUAAUAAAGUGAUCUAUUUAAUCCUUUCUGCUUUUAAUUUCUAAGAGUACUUCAUUUCUUAAGAGUACACCAUUUCUUAAUUUUUCUAAUAUGCAUUUGACACAAUAACACAGGCACUCUCCUUCACCCUGGGGUGGGUGGGUGCUGGUAAAAUUCUUGGACUAGACCAAACCCUCUACCACACCUCUCUCUGGCCUCCCAGGACAGAAUUGCUGGGGUGCAGAGCCCACAAAACAUGCUGCCGUGCUCCUCUCAGCAGAGCCAAAAAAGGUUUGUUAAAGCCAGGGUAGAUGUUUGUGGGAGGAGAGGGGAAGAGACAGCCAAAGCACCCUGGGCUGUGUAGGUCAUUGGUGGUGAAGGAACACAUAACCAGCCCCAAGACAACUGCUGGAAGUGCGGAGCAGACAGUGUAAUAGGCUUCUACUUGUUCUGGGAGCAUUUCAGCAUUCACAGAAGCGUGGCAUCGAAGUAUG